GGCACUCUCUCACAUAGGGUGAGAGGCCCUGGGUCCUGAUGCCUGUAGAGAGCCCACCAGAACAGUCAUGUAAUCCUCCCAAUAUUCCCAAUGGUAUCUUCUCACCUUUGGGAUUAAACACAGAAUUGGAGCCAAAAUCAGGUAUGAGUGUAAAAACGGAUUUCAUCCUGCAACUCAUGUAAAUACAGCAACAUGCACAAGUAAUGGCUGGUCACCUCCUCCAAGAUGCACCUUAAAACCUUGUGAUUUUCCACUAAUAAAACAUGGACAACUAUAUGAUGAGGAUAGAUAUAGAUCACAAUUUCCAGCAGCUAUUGGAAAAUAUUUCUACUAUCACUGUGACCCC